UAUACCGCUGAGGUCAGGGGGGGGGGCGAGGUCGGUUCCGGAAUACGACGCUUUUAUUGCUCAAGAAGAGACUAAGACUCCGCCCUCCGGGAAGAUAGGUUACUUAAGGGAGAGCGGAAAGAAGCCUGGGGAUGAGUGUUGCGCCAACGGGUUUUCCCUCCAGGACUGAACGAAUCGGAUACACCCACGAGAUACAUUUCAGAGACCUGGAGAGCACUAAGAACUAGGUACCAUGGUUCACGGGAAACCACUAAUCACCUUCAAUGACUGCCAGAAUCAUCACCCUUAUUGAGCUAAUGAAGGAAGAUCGAAGACAAACCUCCAGGAAGUAGCUUCUGAAAUUCAAAGUCACUUUUUAAACUUGGGAAUUUGGCUUAAAUAUAAGUUUUAUUGAUCAAAUUAAAACGUACCAUUGUGUAACAUAUGAAGAAUGAAGUAGGAGCCUUUGCUGAAAGAAUACAUGGAGCUGAAGGAACCAUGGAGCAGUCUUCCUCUGCCCUACCUGCUGUAUGAUCAUGCAGGUUAAAAAGUAAUAAAGUAGCUUAAUUAUUGUCUUGAAAGCACCUGUUCCAAAUACUAUUAUUUCCUUGAUAAUACCCUGAUCAAAUAAAUUUCUUUACUCUCA